UGAUUAGGGAGCUACCAUUUGAUUUUUAUGGGGGGGGGGGCUAGGAUGAAAAAUAUUUGUCCUGCUUUUUUUUUUAGUUGUAAUCUCUGUCCUGCCUUUUUAUUUUUUACUCUAUUCGGUCCUGCCUUUUUUUUUUAUAGUUUAUCCUGACUUUUUUUACACAAAUUGUCAUCCUGCCUUUUUUUUUAACAAGUUUCUCAUCCUGCUUUUUUUUUUUACUCAAAACUCCUGUCCUGCCUAUUUUUUUUCCAAUUUCAUCCUAGCCCCC
rnacentral:lncRNA from 1 species